rnacentral:lncRNA from 1 species
CAUAAGCAACCAGAUGUUUAGAUUUGUUAAGAAUUGUUGUUCAUCUAGAUUUUUAGUUUUGGUUCCCUUUGAGAAAUUGUAGAAAACGAUGGUGGUGCGAGUAACAACGAUAUGCAUUCCGAUCAAGAGCAACGCACCCUUCAAAUAUUUGAAAAUUUCGAAAAUUUGAGCAACAAAGUGAAGGUAUAAGUUACAAAUCCUUUGUUUCUCUUGUAAUUUUAUCCUUUUAGAUAAUUCCCAACAUUCUUAUUUAGAAAAUUAUGCAUUUGUUUUGAUUCAGAAUCUGAGACAAGAACAGAACAUAUAUGCAGUAUGCAAUGAGUGAAAAACAUAACAUCAGAUUCUUUUCCUAGCUCUGAAGUUUUUACCGCUCUUCAGAAUCUUGGUAUCUUCCAAAUUACNUCUUCAGAAUCUUGGUAUCUUCCCAAAUUACACUUUCAAUUUGUUCUUGGUUCUAUUUUUUAGUGUACAUAAUUUAAUUGGUUAUCAUCAUGUUGUGGCUCUAAGGCGAGGAACGUGAGGCCUUGAAGAAAAAGUAUAAAGAAGAUUGUCAAACCUUAAAGAACAGAUUCCACCUAGAACGCUCAGAGAGAGGAAGACUCUACGAUGAAGUGAUUGAACUCAAAGGAAACGCUUGGGUGGUCUAUAGAUGUAGACCCUUAAACCAGGAUAAGGUUGCAAAAGGCUUAACUUUCAGGGGUUGAAUAUUAUAUAAAUAUUAUAUAUUGAAAACUAUAUGUAUUGAUAUAUAAUAAUUUAAUAAAAAAGAAUUACUUCG